UACAGAGGUCUCAAGCGUUGUUCGGAUUCAUUGGGCGUAAAGGGUGCGUAGGCGGCGCGGUAAGUCGGGUGUGAAAUCUCGGAGCUUAACUCCGAAACUGCAUUCGAUACUGCCGUGCUUGAGGACUGGAGAGGAGACUGGAAUUUACGGUGUAGCGGUGAAAAUGCGUAGAUAUCGUAAGGAAGACCAGUGGCGAAGGCGGGGUCUCUGGACAGUUCCUGACGCUGAGGCACGAAGGUCAGGGGAGCAAACGGG
rnacentral:rRNA from 1 species